rnacentral:rRNA from 1 species
UGCCUAACCUGCAAGUCGAACGAACCCUUCGGGGUUAGUGGCGCACGGGUGCGUAACGCGUGGGAACCUGCCUUUAGGUUCGGAAUAACUCAGAGAAAUUUGAGCUAAUACCGGAUGAUGUCUUCGGACCAAAGAUUUAUCGCCUUUAGAUGGGCCCGCGUUAGAUUAGAUAGUUGGUGGGGUAAUGGCCUACCAAGUCGACGAUCUAUAGCUGGUCUGAGAGGAUGAUCAGCCACACUGGGACUGAGACACGGCCCAGACUCCUACGGGAGGCAGCAGUGGGGAAUAUUGGACAAUGGGCGAAAGCCUGAUCCAGCAAUGCCGCGUGAGUGAUGAAGGC